UACGGGGGGGGCAAGCGUUGUUCGGAAUUACUGGGCGUAAAGGGCGCGUAGGCGGCCUGUUAAGUCGGACGUGAAAUCCCUCGGCUCAACCGGGGAACUGCGUCUGAUACUGGCGGGCUUGAAUUCGGGAGAGGGAUGUGGAAUUCCAGGUGUAGCGGUGAAAUGCGUAGAUAUCUGGAGGAACACCGGUGGCGAAGGCGGCAUCCUGGACCGACAUUGACGCUGAGGCGCGAAAGCCAGGGGAGCAAACGGG
rnacentral:rRNA from 1 species